GAUGAACGCUGGCGGCGUGCCUAAUACAUGCAAGUCGAGCGAACAGACGAGGAGCUUGCUCCUCUGACGUUAGCGGCGGACGGGUGAGUAACACGUGGAUAACCUACCUAUAAGACUGGGAUAACUUCGGGAAACCGGAGCUAAUACCGGAUAAUAUAUUGAACCGCAUGGUUCAAUAGUGAAAGACGGUUUUGCUGUCACUUAUAGAUGGACCCGCGCCGCAUUAGCUAGUUGGUAAGGUAACGGCUUACCAAGGCAACGAUGCGUAGCCGACCUGAGAGGGUGAUCGGCCACACUGGAACUGAGACACGGUCCAGACUCCUACGGGAGGCAGCAGUAGGGAAUCUUCCGCAAUGGGCGAAAGCUUGACGGAGCAACGCCGCGUGAGUGAUGAAGGUCUUCGGAUCGUAAAACUCUGUUAUUAGGGAAGAACAAAUGUGUAAGUAACUAUGCACGUCUUGACGGUACCUAAUCAGAAAGCCACGGCUAACUACGUG
rnacentral:rRNA from 1 species